rnacentral:rRNA from 1 species
UACGGGGGGAGCAAGCGUUGUUCGGAUUUACUGGGCGUAAAGGGCGCGUAGGCGGUCAGCACAAGUCAGUUGUGAAAUCUCCGGGCUUAACCCGGAAAGGUCAACUGAUACUGUGCGACUAGAGUGCGGAAGGGGCAAUCGGAAUUCUUGGUGUAGCGGUGAAAUGCGUAGAUAUCAAGAGGAACACCUGAGGUGAAGACGGGUUGCUGGGCCGACACUGACGCUGAGUGCGCGAAAGCCAGGGGAGCAAACGGG